rnacentral:SRP_RNA from 1 species
UCUGGGUAUGGUCGAGCCCUUUGGUAAAUCUUGCUACAGGGUAGGAUGAAGCUGGUAGAUUGCUUGAGCUCUGGAGUUCUGAGCCGUAAUAGUGCUAAAGGUAAUUGGGUUUCUACACUCAGACGAGCACAACUGUGUUGAACCCCUAGGAGCUGGGGGCCACCAGGUUGCCUAAGGAGAAUCAAACUAGUCCGGGCCAGAAAUGGAGUAGAUCCAGAGUCCUGUGCCAAUCAAUAGUGGGAUUGGGACUUUGAAUGACUACUGCACUUCUAGCUUGAGUGAGAUAGUGAGACUUAGUUUCA